rnacentral:rRNA from 1 species
UACGAAGGGUGCAAGCGUUAAUCGGAAUUACUGGGCGUAAAGCGCGCGUAGGUGGUUCGUUAAGUUGGAUGUGAAAGCCCCGGGCUCAACCUGGGAACUGCAUCCAAAACUGGCAAGCUAGAGUAUGGCAGAGGGUGGUGGAAUUUCCUGUGUAGCGGUGAAAUGCGUAGAUAUAGGAAGGAACACCAGUGGCGAAGGCGACCACCUGGGCUAAUAAUGACGCUGAGGCGAGAAAGCGUGGGGAGCACACAGGCGGCGAUAACCGCGUAGUCC